CUUCAAACCCUUUAUGACUCCCUUGUUCUACAGGUAGAUGUUUGUAUUAUGACAGCUAUCUCUAAUUAGCUAACAAGAAAAACCGACUAAAUAAUUCCCUGCAUGGAAAUGAAGCCUUCUGGACCAAGCACUCAAUCCCAGCACGUGUCCCUACAUUGUUCCUGGUCUCCAUAAAAUUACCAGUUUGAAGGCAAUUGCAAAGGCAUGCAGUAGUAAAAUUGCA
rnacentral:lncRNA from 1 species